AUUGAACGCUGGCGGCAUGCCUUACACAUGCAAGUCGAACGGCAGCACGGGAGCAAUCCUGGUGGCGAGUGGCGAACGGGUGAGUAAUGUAUCGGAACGUGCCCAGUCGUGGGGGAUAACGUAGCGAAAGCUACGCUAAUACCGCAUACGAUCUAUGGAUGAAAGCGGGGGACCGUAAGGCCUCGCGCGAUUGGAGCGGCCGAUAGCAGAUUAGGUAGUUGGUGGGGUAAAGGCCUACCAAGCCGACGAUCUGUAGCUGGUCUGAGAGGACGACCAGCCACACUGGGGCUGGGACACGGCCCAGACUCCUACGGGAGGCAGCAGUGGGGAAUUUUGGACAAUGGGCGCAAGCCUGAUCCAGCAAUGCCGCGUGCAGGAAGAAGGCCUUCGGGUUGUAAACUGCUUUUGUACGGAACGAAACGGUCUGGAUUAAUACCCUGGGCUAAUGACGGUACCGUAAGAAUAAGCACCGGCUAACUACGUGCCAGCAGCAGCCGCGGUAA
rnacentral:rRNA from 1 species